CGGGAACAGCCUGUCGUGUGGCCACCGCGCCCGGCGACACAUUCCCACAAAGUCACAGCACAUGAACUCGAAUACGCAUUUAAACACGGAACAGAGUGGACAUGCGGGGACGUACAGGCGACACGGUGCGCACACACGACAUUACCGGAGUAAAAGCCGUCGUGAAUUUCGUUUUGUCAAGAACGCCACGUUUCCACAAAAAAAAAAAAGCGGGUCCCCGAAGCCCCGCGCCCGCUUACCUUCGACGGCGAGAGGACGUUUAACCGCGACGGGGCGCCGGCGACUUCCAUCCCGUCGUAUUCCCACAUUGUCCCCGAGAGGCGCGCGCCGGGUGUCCCCGCUUCUCCGGACGCGGUCCACGGCGACCAGGUGGGCGACCAGGCGACCGACCGGGAGUCCCCGCUUCCCCGGACGCGGCGUCCAGGCCUGCGAUUGGUAAUCGUUCAGAGUGUUUCCACGCCGUGACUCAGGCUCUUGACAUACUCCUCACAGAAGAGCCGAAGACCUAGACAGAGGGUGAGUGCCAGGGUUGGGGGAGGGCGGUGCAUCUGUGUUCCAGCAACAAAACAAACAGCUUCGAGAGCCUCUUAGGAAGCGCAUUCUGCCUCCCCGUCUGUCACAGCUGCUGACUUAUUCCCCGAAGGCGCCGGCUCGCCACAAACCUGAUCACAGCGGCGCCGGGUUUUAAUGAAGAAGCCCAACCCUUCGACAAAUUUGCCCGCCAGGAAAGAUCGGUGGGCACCAUACACCGCGUCGCUGCACUUUCUCAGGUCUUUCUUUCAAGCGCAAACGUCCGCUCGGAAUAUUUGGUGCUGAGCUCAGUGACACAUUUGUCAUCUGUCACCGGUUUUUAUCUGAUGUUUUAUUAGGGCACAGGGAGAGGUGGCGUUGGCGCGGUUUUUCUCACGCUGGAGUGCCAGGCGUCGGAGAAGAUAAGAAAAGGCCAAAGGUCAAUUCCAAGCCAUCGCAGUGAAGGGAUUUCAAGCCUCUGGUUAGAUCAGAGCUGUGAUGAAAUCACUUAAAGCGUUGGGACGGGUGUUAAGCAGUAACAUUUCAAAUUCUGUCAGUAUAAGCGUCAUUCUGGAGUUUUCUGAAGCAUUUCUCAGAUGCCAGCAACAACAAUGAUGGUGCUAAAGAUUGAACAGCCAAUCAUUUGUUAGAAAAAAAAAAAAAAAAAAACGUUCUCUGAUUGGAAAAGAUCCAGGGGAACGUCGUGAUUUCUUGCUCUCGCCACCCCCUCCACAAUCUCCCACAUCAACAGAUGGUUCUCACUUCAAUUUAUAGAGAUUUAAUGAGGGUUUGAACAGAUGUGUCACUUAUUAAAAUCACUUUCGUUUAGAAUAAUGUAAUAUUUCUGUGUUUCCUGAGAGUUGUCGGCAGAACGCAUUAAACUGCUGUGAUGAUAGUACCUCCCCACCCCCCGCCAUUAAAAAAAAAAAAUAAAAAAUACAGAAAGCUUCA
rnacentral:lncRNA from 1 species